AGUGAACGCUGGCGGUAGGCCUAACACAUGCAAGUCGAACGGCAGCACAGUAAGAGCUUGCUCUUACGGGUGGCGAGUGGCGGACGGGUGAGGAAUACAUCGGAAUCUACUUUUUCGUGGGGGAUAACGUAGGGAAACUUACGCUAAUACCGCAUACGACCUACGGGUGAAAGCAGGGGAUCUUCGGACCUUGCGCGAUUGAAUGAGCCGAUGUCGGAUUAGCUAGUUGGCGGGGUAAAGGCCCACCAAGGCGACGAUCCGUAGCUGGUCUGAGAGGAUGAUCAGCCACACUGGAACGUGGACACGGUCCAGACUCCUGCGGGAGGCCGCAGUGGGGAAUAUUGGACAAUGGGCGCAAGCCUGAUCCAGCCAUACCGAGUGGGUGACGAAGGCCUUCGGGUUGUAAAGCCCUUUUGUUGGGAAAGAAACGCAGCAGGUUAAUACCCCGCUGUUCUGACGGUACCCAAAGAAUAAGCACCGGCUAACUUCGUG
rnacentral:rRNA from 1 species